GUUCUUGGGGUUGACUAGACUGCUAGUCGAGCGCCUCCCAGCCACGACGGAGGCGCGGCGCACAGCUCAGUAACGCGUGGCUAACCUGCCCUCGGGACGGGAAUACCCCCGGGAAACUGGGGCUAAUCCCCGAUAGGCGAAGAACUCUGGAAUGAGUCUCCACCCAAAAGACACUUACGCUAUGCUCGUAGGCGGCGCCCAAGGAUGGGGCCGCGACCGAUCAGGUUGUUGGCGAGGCAAUGGCUCACCAAGCCUUUUACCGGUGCGGGCCGUGGGAGCGGGAGCCCGGAGAUGGGCACUGAGACAAGGGCCCAGGCCCUACGGGGCGCAGCAGUCGCGAAAACUUUGCAAUACACGAAAGUGUGACAGGGCUAUCCCGAGUGCCAUCCGCUGAGGAAGGCUUUUACCCAGUUUAGAACGCUGGGAGAAUAAGGAGAGGGCAAGACUGGUGUCAGCCGCCGCGGUAAUACCAGCUCUCCGAGUGGUGUGGAUGUUUAUUGGGCCUAAAGCAUCCGUAGCUGGCUGGGCAAGUCCCCUGUUAAAUCCACCGAUUUAAUCGUUGGAGUGCGGGGGAUACUGCUCGGCUAGGGGACGGGAGAGGCAGACGGUAUUUUCGGGGUAGGGGUGAAAUCCUAUAAUCCCGGGAAGACCACCAGUGGCGAAGGCUGUCUGCUAGAACGUGCCCGACGGUGAGGGAUGAAAGCUGGGGGAGCGAACCGGAUUAGAUACCCGGGUAGUCCCAGCUGUAAACGAUGCAGGCUAGGUGUUUGGGCGGCCACGUGCCGCUCUAGUGCCGCAGGGAAGCCGUUAAGCCUGCCGCCUGGGGAGUACGGCCGCAAGGCUGAACUUAAAGGAAUUGGCGGGGGAGCACCACAAGGGGUGAAGCUUGCGGUUUAAUUGGAGUCAACGCCCGGA
rnacentral:rRNA from 1 species